rnacentral:misc_RNA from 1 species
UGCUAGUAAAACUAGCAUACUUGUUUCAGUGUGCCUAAACACAUAAUAUAAUAUAAAUGUGAGAGAUAUAUCUCUUAUUAAAUAAAUGCUCUCUGCAGCAGUCACAUUUUAUAUGUGAGCUAGUAGAUGAGUUAUAUAUAUGACUUAUUUUGCACCUGAAAUCAAGUAAGAUGAC